rnacentral:sRNA from 1 species
GAAGAAUUAAAUGAGAGGACUGAUGGGUGGACAAUGAAAAAUUAAUCUUAUUUUAAACGUUUGAAAUGAAAUAAUUUUGAUUUCAACCAGGAAUAAAUAGGAUUAGUCUGCCCAUUUAUAAUCGAGCGUUUCUAUUUUACAUAAUAAGUAGAUUUAUCCCAUCUAAACGGGAAGUAACACUCCCUCCUCCAAGCUUCUGGAUAAACAAAGAAGUUAGGUGGGAGAUUAACUGCUCAUUAGUGGGGGAUGAAGGAAAGCCUUCGCUGAUGGAAGUCUUUUUAUUUGUUAUGUAAAGGCAUGGCUAAUCCUUCCAAUGAUAUUGGGAGGAUUUUUUC